CCUCUGUAGUUCAGUCGGUAGAACGGCGGACUGUUAAUCCGUAUGUCACUGGUUCCGAGUCAGUCAGAGGCC
rnacentral:tRNA from 1 species